AAAUUUAAUGCUCUGAACUUGAACGGUCGCAUUUGGACACUGAUUGCAGGUGGUGGUGCGAGUGUCAUAUCUGCUGACACAGUAAACUUAACUUUCUUCCAAGUCUUUUAGAUAAGUUGUAAAAGUUAAUUAAGAUGAUAACAGAUCAAUCUUAUUUCCUUGUUCGAGAUUCGGGAUAUGCCGCAGAGCUAGGAUAUUAUGAAGGGUACAGUGAAGCUUCCAAAGAGGAGGAGGUUUUGCAAUAUGCUAGAUUGGUUUUGGAUGAAUCCAAAUCAAAGGCUGCAGUGGUGAACAUUUAUGUUUGGAGAGGUGGUCCAAACUGGGGUUGCCAUAAUGUGUGAUCUAGGUUCAGAGCUUGGUCUUCCAAUUGAGCGGUGUGCAGACAUGCAGUCUACGCCAACGCUCGUCUCUUACCGGUGAGCCGAGCCACGGACAGAUAGGGGGCAGGCGGCGGUGGUGGUCGGAGGAGAAGUGAAACAGACGGCGCUGGAUCGGGGAGGCUGUGGAGGAGCUCAGCAGCAAUGACGAGCAGGUGGAAGGAGAGCAACAGUAGUGGAGGUGCGUGAAGAAGACUAGAAGAAUGGGGAACCACCUCCGGAUUCAGCUCAAGUUGUCACUCUGAAUCUGCUCCCUCUCUUGGUUGGGAAGACUCCAGAAGGAUUCAUCCGUGUUGUGAUGGGUUGAGGAAGGCGGAGAGGACCAGCGAUUACAGUUUGUUGGGUUCAAACUUCAAACAUAGCAGUGCCAAUGUCGGCGCCUUGGCAAGUGAGUCUCGACGUGAGUGCUGGUGUCAAGGUGACUUCAACGAGCACAUCAGCAGUAGCUGCUGUAUGUGCGGCAAUGGAGGCCUCGAGACUCUGGUACAAAUGUGUUGGUUCAAGAGCCAUUGGAAAUGUCCACUUCAUAGGAGUUGGCUUGGAUCGUUAAAUUUAAAUUUAAAAAUAUUAUGUCCACUUCAUAGGAGUUGGCAAAAUUCAUGAUCCAUCCAUGAGAUUUGAUUUCCUUGGCAAAUUAUGAAGGUUUCUACAGUGAUAACAACUUGCUGUUUGGUAAUGCAUUUUAAUUUUAGUGUAUAUCAUAGUUAAGCUGGAUGAUGUUUCAAUAAGUCAAAGCAUAUACUUGGAGUAUUAUUACUGCCUCUUCACUUUAAUUGCAGUGUUCCUGUCGGAAGUUCAUCCAUGGCUCCUAGACAGAUGUAGGCCUUGGUUGGAGCAACUUUGCAUGCACAAAAAGCGUGGAACUCGCUCUUGGUGAGGGCACUGUAAUGAUAUGAAGGAGAGCCUUUUUAUUUCCAGCCUGAUCGACUACAUAAAUUCUGGUCUAUGGGUCCAAGCCGUAGAUAUUGUAGUGUUUGUUGGAACUGGCUGCAAAAAUGUGUCCCCCAAUAUUGUAGGGGGCCUGCGAUAUGCUUGAGGGGGAACUUAAUCUGACACUUUAGAUCUGUUCAGUUAUAUGUGAUCGGGAUACUAAUCAAGAACACAAAUAUAUACAUCAACUGCUGACAACGCGCUGAAAUUAGAGAAAAGAGGAUAUCGUGGAUGGCUUGCAAAACGGCUGAACCAUGAUAUGAUUGGUGUUCAUAAGUACAUCGAUCAACAUCAACAAGAAGUUAGGGUAUACAUGGGAUAUUUUGAAGUUGCAUUCGUAUUAUUUCAGUUUUAUAAACAUGGAUAUUUUGAAGUUUCAUUUGUAUUAUUUCAGUUUUAUAAUAGUUGGUUAAGUUUUUGGAUGUAUACAUUAGUGUGAUGUUUCUUGCAUGUAGCCGGUGGAGCUACCGUCAUAGUGGUGACAUGGAGGGUGAGUGGUUGGUAAAGUGUUGAAUAUUGUAUUUUUGGUUAUCAAGGAGUGACAUGUUUGAUUCGAGCUGCUCGA